AAGGAUUUAAGUUAAAAAAACUGCCAACCUUCAAAGCUGGAAAUAGAAUAUUUCUUUCUAAGCCUUG
rnacentral:tRNA from 1 species